rnacentral:rRNA from 1 species
CUGGCUCAGGACGAACGCUGGCGGCGUGCCUAACACAUGCAAGUCGAACGGGGUUUAAGAGGAAGCUUGCGAAUCUUAAACCUAGUGGCGCACGGGUGAGUAACGCGUGG